UGGGGAAUUUUGGACAAUGGGCGAAAGCCUGAUCCAGCAAUGCCGCGUGUGUGAAGAAGGCCUUCGGGUUGUAAAGCACUUUUGUCCGGAAAGAAAUCCUUGGCUCUAAUACAGUCGGGGGAUGACGGUACCGGAAGAAUAAGCACCGGCUAACUACGUGCCAGCAGCCGCGGUAAUACGUAGGGUGCAAGCGUUAAUCGGAAUUACUGGGCGUAAAGCGUGCGCAGGCGGUUUGCUAAGACCGAUGUGAAAUCCCCGGGCUCAACCUGGGAACUGCAUUGGUGACUGGCAGGCUAGAGUAUGGCAGAGGGGGGUAGAAUUCCACGUGUAGCAGUGAAAUGCGUAGAGAUGUGGAGGAAUACCGAUGGCGAAGGCAGCCCCCUGGGCCAAAUACUGACGCUCAUGCACGAAAGCGUGGGGAGCAAACAGGAUUAGAUACCCUGGUAGUCCACGCCCUAAACGAUGUCAACUAGUUGUUGGGGAUUCAUUUCCUUAGUAACGUAGCUAACGCGUGAAGUUGACCGCCUGGGGAGUACGGUCGCAAGAUUAAAACUU
rnacentral:rRNA from 1 species